UACAGAGGUCUCAAGCGUUGUUCGGAUUCAUUGGGCGUAAAGGGUGCGUAGGCGGCGCGGUAAGUCGGGUGUGAAAUCCGAUCGGAGCUUAACUCCGAAACUGCAUUCGAUACUGCCGUGCUUGAGGACUGGAGAGGAGACUGGAAUUUACGGUGUAGCGGUGAAAUGCGUAGAUAUCGUAAGGAAGACCAGUGGCGAAGGCGGGUCUCUGGACAGUUCCUGACGCUGAGGCACGAAGGUCAGGGGAGCAAACGGG
rnacentral:rRNA from 1 species